AAUACUCCUGCAACGUCACCUUAAACUCGCAUUCACAAAACAUACUGCCUGCGUAAAGAAACAAGGGGUUUUGGAGUAACUCUAAAUGUUUUAUUUCUCCUGCUAAAACAAAAAUAUAUAUGAGGAUAGGCAAAAAUAUACAAAAAACAUUUGAAAAUUGUUUUAGCAAUUUACAUCGUUCCUAUUUUUGUGCCAUUGAAACAAAUUAAUUAAAUAUUCAAAAAACAUUUUACAAAAACUUGCAUUUUUCAAUUGUCGAAAUAUUUUCAAAUCGGAAAUAUUUUUAUGAAAAUAAUUGCAAAGCCAUACAGUAUCUUAUUGUUUCUGCGUAUUUUCACGUUUAGGAAGAAAGAAAUAUGACUUGAAUGGAUUCUUUGGGAACAGUGACCAUCAAGAUUGACUCAGCUGAGAAAACAACAUGUUCCCUAUUUUGUUGUUUUCAGUUUUGUGUCAUAUUUGUACAUUAUUUGUAUGGAUGUCGGCCAUUUUUAUGCAAAAUCAUCGUAUGGUCCAGUUGACUUAUGAAAUUGCCAAACUGCAAUAUUCAUUAGCCUCACAAUAAUGAAUUUAGAAAUCAGUUAAUCUUGAAUAAUUAGUGUCUCUGCUACAAUGUAAGGUUUUUGUCAGGCUUUUACAUUUAUGUUAAUAUCUUGUUUGUGAGAUAUUAAGAUUUACAUUGUUUUAUUUUGGAUAAAUGCACCAGAACGUGUGUAAAAUGCUAAAGGUUAAACAGUCGAAACAUGGGCUUUCCAUCUUUACUUUAAAACAAAAAUAUGACAAACUUUUCUGUAAGAAAUACAAUUUUGGGGUUAUUUUCAUGGGGUAAUAUUGCCAUCUAACUGUUUUGGUUGUGUCUUUAUUUUAUUUUAAACCAGUUUUUAUUUUUUAUUUUGAUCAUUUGUGUAUCAAAAUCCCUCUUGAGUGAGUUACUAUCCCAACAUAUGAAGUGAACAACACAGACACUUAAUUAUUUGAAUUUAUUCAUCCACAAAACUAAUAAAAACAAUUUAGUUAAAUUACAAAGUAUAUUUAAUCAUUAUUUUUAUUUGCAUAAUUGAAGGAAAUUCUUAUCAGAGCCAAGAAUAAAACCAUACACCAUUGUUCAGGGAAGAGAUAGUAGAAGAGGAACUGACCUGGAACCAGUUUUUAUUGUCUAUUUUAUUUUUUUCUCUGAUUAUAUGCAGAUGAAAUCUUCCACCAUUAUGUUCUGGUUCUGUUUUACUGUGUAUAUUUCCAGCAGCUCAUUUAGUUGCUUUAUUUGUACUGUUUCCCCAUUCAUGUUUAAUAAAGCUGUUAUUUUUAAAUCUUUCCUCUA